CCGUGCGGCGUGCUUACACCUGCAGUUGAACGGGGUCAUGGAGUAGCAUACUCCGGAAGACUAGUGGCGAACGGGUGCGUAACACGUGAGAAACCAACCCCGGUCUCUGGGAUAACAGGUGGAAACACCUGCUAAUACCGGAUGCCGUCGUGUCCUCGCAUGGGGAUAUGACGAAAGGGCUACCGGAUCGGGACGGUCUCGCGGCCUAUCAGCUUGUUGGAGAGGUAACGGCUCACCAAGGCAUCGACGGGUAGCUGGUCUGAGAGGAUGAUCAGCCACACUGGGACUGAGACACGGCCCAGACUCCUACGGGAGGCAGCAGUGGGGAAUCUUGCGCAAUGGGCGAAAGCCUGACGCAGCAACGCCGCGUGCGGGAUGAAGGCCUUCGGGUUGUAAACCGCUUUUACCAGGAAGGAAAAUGACAGUACCUGGAGAAUAAGGUGCGGCCAACUACGUGCCAGCAGCCGCGGUGACACGUAGGCACCAAGCGUUGUCCGGAUUUAUUGGGCGUAAAGAGCUCGUAGGCGGUUCAGUAAGUCGGGUGUGAAAACUCUGGGCUUAACCCAGAGACGCCACCCGAUACUGCUGUGACUUGAGUCCGGUAGGGGAGUGGGGAAUUCCUGG
rnacentral:rRNA from 1 species